ensembl:lncRNA
GAAUAGAUUUCUGUUCUGUUUAAUAUUCAGGAUGGAUGAGAAUGUAUAUGAAGUGAAACAUAGCAUUUGGAAAGUUAAAGGAAAAACCAGUGUGCCAUUCUAGGCUGUUGAGGUUGUGGUAGUUGUCUGGGAGCUGUCACUCUUGAGGAAUAAUCCUGACCAACAAGAGUGUCUUGAGUUAUGAUCUCAGGCCUCAAAUUUUCCUCUGGCUUGGGUCAUGUUUCUGUUGUCUCCUGGCAUCUUGUUGUGUUCUGAAUGUCCCUGGCAUAUCAAGAUCUGAAAGGCCAUAAAAGGAAAAAGCAGAGCAAGGUUUUUCUUCAGCACUUUUGUGCAAGAACGUUGCUGUAAAUUCUGGUUUAAUGUUUAGGUUUGCCCAGGGGGACGGUGAUGGAGUCACCAUCCCUGGAGGUGUUCAAGAGCCGUGGAGAUGUGGCACUGAGGGACGUGGUCAGUAGGCAUGGUGGGGUGGGUUGGGGUUGGAUAUGGGGAUCUUAGUGGUCUUCUCCAGCCUUAAUGAUCCUAUGAUUCUAUGCUCUCUGCAGUCAGAAAGGGAAUACUAAGAAACUCUAUAAGGUGAAUUUACUGCUGCUGGUGUAUUCCAUAUAUUGUUAAGUCCUGGUUUGAUCUGAUGUUUUAUAUAAGAACUUUGGCUGCACCGUUAGCGAUGACUUUGCAGCAAAGGUGUGAGCAGAUCUGCAGUGACAUAUUUGACAGUCGCUUGAAGACAGCAGUAUCUUGAGAAACACGGAAGCUUUUAGCACUGCUCAAAGAGGCAUUUGUUUUGUAGGCUGGCAAAUGGAAGCACAUGGGGAGCUGCCUGGGGGUCAUGUAAGAAAUUUGGAAAAAAAAGACCAUUGAAAUCAAUGUGUUCAGGUUAACUUGAAGCUCCUCCUCUUCCCAUUCUUUCCCAAAUGAGCUGUUUCAGAUGCCCUUACUUAAUUAAUUGUUCUAGCACUUAAACCUCAUAAAUACCUUUAGCAGUAAGAAACGUACAAGAUGAGAUAAAUCAUUUGGCCCUCUCUCCCUCUUCUUCCCUGCAUAUGAGCAUCCUGCUGUAGCCCUGCACCCAUUCCUUGCAGCUUUAUAAAUAUCACUCAGCUCCUAAAAAUAAACCAUCAGCGUGUAC